rnacentral:ncRNA from 1 species
UUUUGUUGAUCUCAAUGAAAAGGGAAAUGGGUGUAAAUCCCAUACUGUUCCCGCAGCUGUAAUCCGGUUUAAUUUCGAGACGAUAUCAAACCACUGUUGCUUUGCAAUGGGAAGGUUGUUUCGGAAAAGGAGAGUCAGAAGACCUGCCAAGUCAAUUU